rnacentral:miRNA from 1 species
CGGUGAGAACGUACAGUAAGCA